AUUGAACGCUGGCGGCAGGCCUAACACAUGCAAGUCGAGCGGCAGCGGAAAGUAGCUUGCUACUUUGCCGGCGAGCGGCGGACGGGUGAGUAAUGUCUGGGAAACUGCCUGAUGGAGGGGGAUAACUACUGGAAACGGUAGCUAAUACCGCAUAACGUCGCAAGACCAAAGAGGGGGACCUUCGGGCCUCUUGCCAUCAGAUGUGCCCAGAUGGGAUUAGCUAGUAGGUGGGGUAAUGGCUCACCUAGGCGACGAUCCCUAGCUGGUCUGAGAGGAUGACCAGCCACACUGGAACUGAGACACGGUCCAGACUCCUACGGGAGGCAGCAGUGGGGAAUAUUGCACAAUGGGCGCAAGCCUGAUGCAGCCAGGCCGCGUGUGUGAAGAAGGCCUUCGGGUUGUAAAGUACUUUCAGCGGGGAGGAAGGUGCUGAGGUUAAUAACCUCAGCAAUUGACGUUACCCGCAGAAGAAGCACCGGCUAACUCCGUGCCAGCAGCCGCCGUAA
rnacentral:rRNA from 1 species